rnacentral:tRNA from 1 species
GGGCGGGUGGCGAAACCGGAAAACGCGGCGGACUUAAACUCCGCUGGCCCGAGGGGGCCUUGUGGGUUCGAAUCCCACCCCGCCCACCA